CCUGGUACUCUUGCUCUUGGUGCCACUAAGGGCAUCACAAAGGAAAAGGCAAUGAAAGACAAUCUACUUAAAUUUGACGACCUUGAAAAUUUAAAGCUUGCUGAAGAUUUAGCGAAGACGUGCUUUGAAAUGUAUUCAGUCACUUCUACUGGUCUUGCCCCAGAAAUUGCUUACUUCCACACCAAGGAAUAUACUGAAGGUGGGCUUGACGGUGGGAACAAGGGAUCGAAGUUUGUUGAUGACAUAAUAAUCAAGCAUGCUGAUCGUCAUAAUCUUUUGCGCCCUGAAACUGUAGAAUCAUUGUUUGUAUUGUAUCGGAUUACAGAGGACCCAAAAUACCGUGAAUGGGGUUGGCAGAUUUUUGAAGCAUUUGAGAAGUACACAAAGGUUGAAUCUGGUGGGUACAGUUCCUUAGAAGAUGUCACUGAGCUUCCUCCUCGGAGAAGAGACAAGAUGGAGACCUUCUAUUUAGGAGAGACAUUGAAGUAUCUGUACUUGCUAUUUGGGGAUAGCUCUAUUUUUCCUUUGGAUAAGUUUGUCUUUAACACAGAAGCUCAUCCUCUUCCUAUUAAAGGUAACUGAGAGGGACUGAAUGUCUUUUGCAUAUAAAGCAUACAUGUGAAGAAACACUCUUGCAACUUGUAUUUUGGUGGGAAACAGACUACUACUUUUUGAAAUUUUGUUGGUGCAUCAUUCACAUGUUUGGUCCUGGUUCAAAAUGGCGAUCAGUUAAAGUGGUAUCAAGAAAUGUUAGCAGUGCAAUGAGUCAGUUGUUUGAUCUGCACUCAAUUGUCCACAGAGAAGAACAAUUUUUUGGGGAAAUUCAUUCAUAUGGCCCACCAGAUUAUGGCAUGGUUGUAAGAUGUAAUUGUUAACAUUCUUCAUAAUUAUAUGUGGAUGGGGUUCUUUGCUCCGAAAGUACUGGAAAAUUGGAUAAGUAAAUUACAAAAGGUUGCACUUUCACUCGGUACUUUCGGAGCAAAGAACC
rnacentral:misc_RNA from 1 species